CACGUAGGGGGCGAGCGUUGUCCGGAAUUAUUGGGCGUAAAGAGCUCGUAGGCGGUUUGUCGCGUCUGCUGUGAAAGACCGGGGCUCAACUCCGGUUCUGCAGUGGGUACGGGCAGACUAGAGUGAUGUAGGGGAGACUGGAAUUCCUGGUGUAGCGGUGAAAUGCGCAGAUAUCAGGAGGAACACCGAUGGCGAAGGCAGGUCUCUGGGCAUUAACUGACGCUGAGGAGCGAAAGCAUGGGGAGCGAACAGG
rnacentral:rRNA from 1 species